rnacentral:rRNA from 1 species
GCUAUCACUUUGGGAUGGACCCGCGCCGUAUUAGUUAGUUGGUGAGAUAAAAGCCCACCAAGACGAUGAUACGUAGCCGACCUGAGAGGGUAAUCGGCCACAUUGGGACUGAGACACGGCCCAGACUCCUACGGGAGGCAGCAGUAGGGAAUCUUCCACAAUGGACGAAAGUCUGAUGGAGCAACGCCGCGUGAGUGAUGAAGGUUUUCGGAUCGUAAAACUCUGUUGUUAAAGAAGAACAAGUGUUAGAGUAACUGUUAACACUUUGACGGUAUUUAACCAGAAAGCCACGGCUAACUACGUGCCAGCAGCCGCGGUAAUACGUAGGUGGCAAGCGUUGUCCGGAUUUAUUGGGCGUAAAGCGAGCGCAGG